rnacentral:sRNA from 1 species
GCCGGGCGUGGUGCCGCAUGCCUGUAAUCCCAGCUACUUGGGAGGCUGAGGCAGGAGAAUCACUUGAACCCAGGAGGCAGAGGGUGCAGUGAGCCGAGACUGUGCCACUGCACUCCAGCCUGGGUAACAGAGCGAGACUCCAUCUCAA